UACGUAGGCAGCAAGCGUUGUUCGGCGUUACUGGGCGUAAAGCGCACGUAGGCGGCUCAGUUAGACGGGGGUGAAAUCCCGGGGCUCAACCCCGGAACUGCCUUCGAUACUGCUGGUCUGGAGUCCGAGAGAGGUGAGUGGAAUUCCGAGUGUAGAGGUGAAAUUCGUAGAUAUUCGGAGGAACACCAGUGGCGAAGGCGGCUCACUGGCUCGGUACUGACGCUGAGGUGCGAAAGCGUGGGGAGCAAACAGG
rnacentral:rRNA from 1 species